GAUUGUCAGAUUCAACUACAAAAGGAGGUAGCUGCCAGAUGAAAAAGAAGAACUGCUUGGAAACAGUUGGGCCCAAGAUAGUGGAGGGCCUGACCUCCAGUAGACCUUGAGACUCAUUCUACACUCAUUGUAAUAUGUUAACAUGCUAAGUGAUGCACCCAUCAGUGCCAAGACAGUUGAUGGUUGCCACGACAACAACUGGAAGAACCCAUUCUCUGUGCAAGUCUUAUUUUCUCUCCAUUAUCUAGGUGGGUCUUAUUCUCUUCCCAUUGUGAGAUAUUUCUUAGUCUUGAAAUGGAGCAUUGCCUCAAUUUCUCAUCCAAACCACGCCCCUAUCCUCGGAUAUGUCACAAUCAUUCAUUCUUUCCUCUCUUUACUUAAUUCUUUCUUUUUUACCUUGACUUUCCUAUAUAUAUUGCAUCUCAGCCCCAAUCUAGUUGAGAAGUUGGUUUGCAAACUAAGUUCCUACUUUUCUAUUCAUUGACCACUGAAUAAACUUGGGAUGUUCCAGUGUCAGCAUCAGUUUCAUUACUGAAUGCGAGAAUCCAAGCAGAAAAAAGAACCUUCCUGGUGGAGACAAAGGGUCUGACUUGGCUAGGACCUUGGCGUGUGUCCAGACAAGCAAUUGAUAAACAUCGGAUUUUAUUAAAGGGACACGUAGAGGCCAGAUCUGAGAACUAAGAAGGAAGAGUAGUCAUGGAACAGCAGCCAGACUUGAAUAGUUAUCUCCAGGUGGUCUCCAGAUUUCUCCCCUGUGAUUCAUUCAUUACUUUGCCUACUGGGUCAUCUUUCUGAAAUGGUCUCAUUUUUAUGGCUUCUCUGCUUCUUAACUUUCUAGUGUAUCUACUGCUUUCAAGUUAUACUCUGAAGGCCUGUCUGUGGAUGUCAUUAAGGGCUUUACUCUCCAGCCAUCCUCUCAUUGUUUCUCUUCCUUGGCCAGUCCAUUUGCUCCUAGCCACCCCAUCCUGAAGUAUUGGAGCUGAAGCUCCAGUUCUUUAGCCACCUGAUGUGAAGAGCCGACUCACUGAAAAAGACCCUGA
ensembl:lncRNA